rnacentral:lncRNA from 1 species
GAGGUCUCCUCCUCCUUAGGUCUGGCCCUGCUCUGGUCUUUCUGAUGGGCUUUCUGCUCCUCUUUCUUGUUUUUGCAGAAGAUUUGGUUGAGCAUGCUGAAUCGUCCUUCCUUCUUUUGGGGUUGGCUGUUUUGGGAGGGAAGAGGCCUAGCAGGCUCUGCUCUAGAGGAAUGGGAAAGAACAAGAAUGCCAUGUGAGGACAGGAAAUGGGGGAGAGGACAAGAUAGGACACCCCAAACCCCAUUCCAUCUGCUUGAUGAGCUAGCCUGGGCUCAUGCACACAUGCCCAUUGUCUUCAAGUCAAGGUUUUGCAUAAGAACUCCCAUUUUCUAUUAACUCCUUACAUAGGUGGUACCUCAGCACACACAUCCCCUUCCCCCUCCCUUCUCUCUCCUCUCUCUCUGAGGUGGGGACUCCACAUAACGUAGCCUCAAACUUGUAAUCUCUUAGCUUCAGGCUCUUGAGUUCUGUACUCAUGGUCAUGGGCUACCCACAUCUCUCAGGGGCUGGGUUCAUCCCUGCCCCCCAUUAUUUUGUUGUUGUUGUUUUUUGGCAGCAGCAUACAUUUAUGUACUGUACCCCUAUAAUGCAUGGAAGGAAGUCAUUUCACCCCAACUCUGCUCUCACCCCCCUCCUCUGCCUCCCUCCCCCCCUUCUCCCUCCUUUCUCCUCUCUCUGCAUGUGGAGGUUAGAGAUUGAUAUGGUGUGUCUUCCUCUGUGUCUGUCAACCUUACCUAUUUAUUUAAUCUUUGAUAUUUAUUUACAAUUGUGUGUAUGAAUAAGAGUUUUCAGGGAGAAGCUGCACUUCCCAUCCCCUUCCCCCCACAACCCCUGGGGGGUUGCAAUGUUACAAGUCCAGAGUCAAAUUAUCUCAGCACAUUUAAUACCCUUUUAGUAGCCAUUGGUUCCUCUUCUCUGACCCUCUACAUCAAUCAUGUGGUAUGAGCAAUCAACCAAAAGGCUGAGAAUGGCAGAAAGUACCUGAGGCCUUAGCAGAAACUCCCCUGCUCUCUUCUAACAUGUCUACCAAAGUUUCCAUCAAUGUAUUUGCCUUGAUUUGCAACUUGAUGUGUUCUGUUUCUAUGACAACUUCAUCUUCGAGACUUUGAGGCGGUGGUCGUGCACGCCUUUAAUUCCAGCACUUGGGAGGCAGAGGCAGGCGGAUUUCUGAGUUCGAGGCCAGCCUGGUCUAUACAGAGAAACCCUGUCUCAAAAACCAAAACAAAACAAAAAACAAAAUAAAAAAGAAAAAGAAAAGAAAAGAAAACUUCUCUCCUUAUUGAUGUUGGGCUUUGACCAGAUGAAAUUUGUGUACCACAGUGCAAGCUUCAAGCAAGGCAUGGUUGGCUUUGUCCUUAAUCUUAAGGGAGAGGUGUGGCAGGGUAAACAUGGCGAGUAAUGUUUUUCUGCUUCCAAAAGCCAGGCUCAAAACUUCGAGUAGAUCUGAAGCAAAGCCAUCACGGAAGGGGUACGGAGAACCGAGAGGAACAGACUGACAACACCUCCGACUCACAUACUGAGAGCCUCCGUGGCAAAUCUGUGACACCGGUUCUGAGCUGUCUGACCUACAGUUCCUUUCCUAUCUUGAGGCUGCAGGAUCACCCUGCAGGGACAGCAGGCUGGCCUCAGCCAUUGCAAUGAGGAGGGAAAAGUCAGGACCUGUGAUGUAAGGCAAUUGAGCAGAGAGCAGCACUGGGUGAUGUGGUGGUUGGUCUCUGGGUGGUGAGGGAUGAUGGGAGGAAGGGUGCAAGGUUGCUCCAGCUCUCGGUAGCGAAGGGUUGAUUUAAGUCUGUAAACAUCCAUGGAGAAUUCCCAGAAGUAUGUAGGGAGGAGAAUCUGAUAAAAGGCUGUCCUCCCUGAAGAGAAACAAGUUGUUUAUUGAAGUUAGUUAUGACUUCAUAGACUGAUGACAUUUGGGGCAUUUGAAACACACGGGCUGCUUCUGCCGUAUUUGUGAGAAGGCAUUAAUCUUCGGUGAGUACUAUCAUACCUAAACAUCAUAUUUUGUGACUUAGCUGUCCCCCUACAUUUAUUUAUUUUAUGUGGGUACAUUCGUGCAUGCUUGUGUAUCAUGACACUUGGAUGGAGAUCUGAGAAUAACUGUGGUACUCUGUUCCCUCCUUCCGUUAUGUAGGAUAGAGCUAAGUUUAUGCGACUUGGUGGCAAGAGCCUUUAUCUUCUGAGCCGUCCUGCUGGCCAUUUUUUGAAUGGGGUGUUUUUGAGACAGUCUCAUGCUAUAGCCCGUGCUGGCCUCCAGUUUGUGAUUCUCCUACUUCAGCCUCCUGAGGGCUAUGGUUUCAGGGUAUAACACCAUUGCCUACUUUCUGAUGUGCCUUAAUGUACAGCAGAUGAGUGCUCUAAAUUCUCUCUCUUUUCUCCCUCCCCCCUACCCAUCUCUUAUUGCAAAUUUAUUUUUCUCCUCUUCCCACAAAGUCUUUCUUUAGCAAAAUCUUUCGCUAGAAGAGGAAAAGAUGAAAAGAGGUGGAGAGAUGACUUAAGCUUGUGUUGACUUUUGGACAGUUCAACUAUUAACAGAAUCUCAUGGUUUCAAUGGGACAGACAGAGUGUCGUGGUCAACAUGAGAAUACAAGAUGGAGAAUACACAAAUGUUUUAGCCAGUGGCAUGGAGCCUCCAGGAAACUGGACUUCCCUUCUCACCCCACCCAAUCAACUGUAUUGAUUUCCCUCUCCAGGCUUGCUUGCUUCUCUGAGACCCAGGAUAAUGGUUGCAGUACUGAAAAACUGGGAGGCAUCUGCUCUGAGUUGGUUCUAGCAACUUUUAAAGAUCAACACCUGUUCUUAGGGAAAAAGCAGACUUCAACUUCAAUAAAAAAGAUCAUCAGGUUAGC